UACGGGGGGGGCAAGCGUUGUUCGGAAUUACUGGGCGUAAAGGGCUCGUAGGCGGCCAACUAAGUCAGACGUGAAAUCCCUCGGCUUAACCGGGGAACUGCGUCUGAUACUGGAUGGCUUGAGUUCGGGAGAGGGAUGCGGAAUUCCAGGUGUAGCGGUGAAAUGCGUAGAUAUCAGGAAGAACACCGGUGGCGAAAGCGCUCUGCUAGGCCGCAACUGACACUGAGGGACGAAAGCUAGGGGAGCGAAUGGG
rnacentral:rRNA from 1 species